rnacentral:rRNA from 1 species
AUGAACGCUAGCGGCAGGCUUAACACAUGCAAGUCGAGGGGCAUCGGGAGUAGCAAUACUGCCGGCGACCGGCGCAAGGGUGCGUAACGCGUGAGCAACAUGCCCGUAUCAGGGGGAUAAUCCAUGGAAACGUGGUCUAAUACCUCAUAGUAAUUAUGUAAGGCAUCUUAUAUAAUUUAAAGCUUUGGUGGAUACGGAUUGGCUCGCGUGACAUUAGCUGGAUGGUAAGGUAACGGCUUACCAUGGCUACGAUGUCUAGGGGUUCUGAGAGGAAGGUCCCCCACACUGGAACUGAGACACGGUCCAGACUCCUACGGGAGGCAGCAGUGAGGAAUAUUGGACAAUGGAUGGAAAUCUGAUCCAGCCAUGCCGCGUGCAGGAAGAACCGGCCCUAUGGGUUGUAAACUGCUUUUGUAUGGGAGCAAUAAGGGCUACGUGUAGUCCGAUGAGAGUACCAUACGAAUAAGCACCGGCUAACUCCGUGCCAGCAGCAGC